AAUGUGUGUCAACAACGCACGUUGAAUACGUCCCUGCCCUUUGUACACACCGCCUGUCGCUCCUACCGAUUGGAUGACUCGGUGAAAUCACCGGAUGCUUACGAGCAGAAAGUGAUUAAAUCACGUUAUCUAGAGGAAGGAGAAGUCGUAACAAGGUAACGGUAGGUGAACCUGCCGUUGGAUCAGUU
rnacentral:ncRNA from 1 species